UGAUCACAGUGGGGUGUUCUUUGAGGACCUUCUGCUAAGACCAGUAAGAUUCCCCAGUCCAAUAAACCACUCAUGUCUCUGCCACCAACUCUGGGCUCUUUCCUCAGUCUCCGGAGUGGGCAGCUCUAUGGCUUGAAGAUGUGGGGGAUGCCACUCAACCAUUGGUGAGCCAGCCAAGAGACCAAGGAAACUCUGCGACAAGGAAUCCCACUUUACUCACCAUGGAGCAACGAGGAAUCCCACUUUACUGACCAUGGAUUUCAGGAAUGGCUGAUGAGGCUGGGCACCUCUACACACUAGACUGACCCCACGGACGUCUCUGAAGAGGGACACCAGGAUAAUGAGUUGUGCAGGGCUGGGCAACUCUAAAACUUGCAGGCCUGCCGGGUGCAGUUCAAUCACUGGUGAGCCAGCAAACAAGCUCUGACGCUGCUACAUACUCUUGAGACUGAAAAAAGUUGGCUUAAAACUCAACAUUCAGAAAACUUGGAUCAUGGUAUCUGGUCUCAUCACUUCAUGGCAAAUAGAUGGGGAAACAGUGGAAACAGUGACAAACUUUUAUUUUGGGGGGC